GUCUACGGCCAUACCACCCUGAACGUGCCCGAUCUCGUCUGAUCUCAGAAGCUAAGCAGGGUCGGGCCUGGUUAGUACUUGGAUGGGAGAAAUAAAUGUUUUGUUCUCAUGAACAUGAAUUUGCCAUUGAGU
rnacentral:rRNA from 1 species